UUCCGUUUUGUUUCUCAGCUGUCCGUCUUUUCCAUUCACUUGGAAGUUGGAAUGUCUCCACUCUCCAUCUUCACUCUCUUCGCCUCUCUCCCUCUUCUGUUUCUUUGUUUGCGAUGUUGAGGCCAGAGAUUCCUCUCCCCAUUACAUCGCAAGGCCCUCUCUUUAAGUGGUUGGGACAGAAGAUCUAGAGGACACAACCUGUGCCAUCGUCGAUGGCGAACUGAGGAAACUGUUUCGUCCAUUUGGAACUUCAGUUUUCGGGUACCAUUCUGUCUUCCUUUGAAGCUCACCGAUCACAUUCUCUUCUGUUCCCAAGGUAAGAACUUUCACCAUUUUUCUGUUUGCUUUCCCAUAAAAAGGAGUGUUUUUUCCAUCAUUUUGUAGAUUAUGAGUCUUUCAUUUGGUUACACACAUGUUGGACUCCCUUAGCUAAAUAAUCCCUAAUUUCUUACUCAUCCCCCUCUGCUGCUUCAUCUUUUUAUAAAUUUAAUUAUGGUUUAACAUCUAUCUUUCCCCUCUUAUUCCUCAUUAUUCAAUCUAUUCAUCAUAACUUCUUUUUAAAGGAUCUAAACCAGCAAAAGAAAGAUCAGGAGGAGGUUCUUUUGUGCAGUUUCUUCUAUCUCUGCUGCUCACAUACCACUAUUGAUUUUUUACCAACAAUUUCACUCCUUCCAAUAUCUGUGAUAUUCUAGAAAGUUUUUAACUUUCAGGUACUUUUUGUUGCACUAUGAGCUGGAUUUGAGCCUUUGCAAUCCAAGUUUUGGGUUCAAAGAAGAGUAUGUUUUAUUUUCCCAUUGUUCAGAUGGGUGUGGGGCUCUCUGGCACCUCUAAUAAGACAAGUGAAACUGCCCAAAUACAUCAAAUUGCUUGGACCUUCAUUCCUUAACUAUCCAAAACUGUUCCCAGUUUCCACUCUUCAUUCUAAUCCAUGUGUUAGUUUUAAAAUUGAUGUUUAAUAUCCAAUUUUGUAUUCUCAUGCACUAUCCAUUAGUGUAAGUCUAUAUAUCUGUAUUACCAAAAUGCUUCUCAAUCAUGCAUGAUCAAAAGAAUCUAAAACCUGAUGUAACAGAAAGUUUGGCACUAUUGUCCUAUAUAUUCAAUUCUUUAUGAUAAGAGUAAAUCUCCAACUAAUCUUGGGUUAACUGCAACCUAAUUGUUUUUCCCUUUGAGAUCACUCAAUUGUUCUUAUUAUGGGUUCAAUUGAUAAUCACAUAAGGGACUCUUUAAUUUGUAUAAGAAAAGCUUCCGCAUCAGUCUACUUCAAGCAGCCUCCAUAUCCGGAUGAAAACAUAGAAAAGAGUGCAGGCUAUGAGCUGGGUUAGAAGAUGGUGCAGUUCUUAAUUGGCUCAUCAUAUUACCCUGUUGCAUGUUGUUUCUUUGAAGACUUCUGUUAAUUGUAGACCGGUGUUCUACAUAGAGUUUAUGAUGUGGUUAAUUUGAAAAGGUGAGUUUGAACCGACGGUGGCUACUGUCAUGAAAGUAAAGCAAAUGAAUGCUUCUAAGGUAAACAUUAACUUGCCACUGCUUUUAAUCAUUUUCUCUACUGAUUGUUCCACAUUUCAUGGCAAGGGUAAGAAAACAAAUGUUUUACAGAAAGAUUGGGGAAGGAGGGAACAGCAGUGGAUCGGAGGUGCAUCGAGGUAUUGCUAACUUGAGGCAACACGCUACUCAUCUAUACUAUGGAAGCGGCUAGAUGAGGGCAUAGAUUCUGUUGAUGAAUGGCUAAUGAACUGGAAAGUUUUUUUUUUCGUUUGGUUGAAUUAAGCAGCAAAAUGUUGAUGUGGCUGCUGAAAAACUCAGUGCUCAGGAUAAAGGAAUUCAAGUGUUGGUAGAUGUUUGCCAUAUUUUUAUUGCUCAACAAAGGAAGAGUUUGAUUAAAAAAGUUGUUUUUGUGAAAGUUUGUUGGUAGAUCAACUAUGAAAUUUGUAUAACAUGAUUUGUUAUUAGUUCUUCAGAUAAACUAGGCUGAAAAAUGUGAUAUAUGUCUGCUUCUUUUAUUCAAUCUUUUGAUACAAGGUUUCUUUUAUUUAACUUAACUUCUUAUUAUGGAUUCCACUUCUAUUUUAAUGUGCAUUUAUCUUUUGAUUUUG